rnacentral:rRNA from 1 species
ACAACACAGUGAUGUGAAGCGAAACCCAAAAAGCAGUCACAGUUCGGAUUGAAGGCUGAAAUUCGCCUUCAUGAAGCCGGAAUUGCUAGUAAUGGCAGGUCAGCAUACUGCCGUGAAUACGUUCCCGGGCCUUGUACACACCGCCCGUCACACCAUGAGAGUUGGGGAUACCCGAAGCCCGUGAGCCAACUUUUUAAGAGGCAGCAGUCGAAGGUAGAAUCAAUGAUUGGGGUGAAGUCGUAACAAGGUAUC